UACGGAGGGGGCUAGCGUUGUUCGGAAUUACUGGGCGUAAAGCGCACGUAGGCGGCUUUGUAAGUUAGAGGUGAAAGCCCGGGGCUCAACUCCGGAAUUGCCUUUAAGACUGCAUCGCUAGAAUUGUGGAGAGGUAAGUGGAAUUCCGAGUGUAGAGGUGAAAUGCGUAGAGACCCGGAGGAACACCAGUGGCGAAGGCGGCUUCCUGGUCUGCGACUGACGCUGUGGCGCGAAAGCUAGGGGAGCAAACGGG
rnacentral:rRNA from 1 species